UGGUGACAAAUCAGUAAAGGAAUAGAUUGUCCAUUAUAUGUUCCUAAUUAAUAUAACACAUAUAACAUCUCUCCCCCCCCCACUGUAGCACAGAAAGAAAACAAUUUCAUAAAAGACUUGCAAAGCCUAUGCACAAGAACUGUAACAAACGUUGAUGAAAAGCACCCAACUUUUAAAUGAAGUUUACCAGAGAGAGAGAGAGAGAGGUUUGCCUGUCAAGGAGCCAUGAAGUGGUAUAGUCAAGCAAUUCUGAUGAGUAAAGACAUACAAAUUUCAUGCAAUUUGCACAAGACCCUAGAUUUCACACAUCUCACUUGUACUUUCCAAGGGUUUGCAUACUGACGGGGAGGGGAGAACAGGGGAUGUGAGUCAGAUCAUGAAGGCCCUCAUGGGGUAUCCAGAGGUGUUGAGGUGUGACUCAGCAGGCAAGAUGGGCACCUAUUGCCAAUCAAGACAAACUGCAGGCUACUGCAGUUUUAGAAACAUCCAGAUCAGUUACUUCACCUGCAGUUAAGAUGCACUAUUCGCAGGCAGGCUGUGAUGCACUAUUAUUUGUCCAUAUCGGAUUUGGUUAACAUAAUGAACUUAAGGUGCCAGCCUGAACACAGCCUAUAAAUCCUGUGAAGAAACAUAAAAACUACUGUGCUGUCCAGAACCAUUCCUCUGAUUGUUGUCUAGAAUAACUAUUUUUAUAUGUAGAAUCUUGACCUUAACUAAUGUUUUUCAUUUCAGUCCGUGACAAAGCAGAGAGGUAAACAGAACUGAUCCGCUUAGUAGAGUUUUUCAGGAAUCUCGUGAAGCAUCAGAACCUUGGGGACCCACAGGCAUGUUCAUAAGGACCCAUGCAUUUCUCAGGUGGGAACUGGCAAGACUGGGUAGUCACAACCGGACUUGUCUCCCCAGUCUCUUCUUUUUCCUCUUCUCUAGGAACGAAGGAACGAAGGAAGGAAAGAGAAGGUGGGAGGGAGAGAGGGAGACAGACAAAAAGAAAAACAGAAAGAGAGAAAGACAGGAAGGAAGGGAGGGAGGGAGGAGGAAGAAGUCAGCAUAUCUUUGUUGACCAUCUGGGAUUGUACCCACUAUUUGGGGGACGAAGGCAGAGGUAUAAUCCAUGAUUGCUUCCCUGGAGGAAUUUAUACUCUGACUCAGUAUAGAGCUUCUCAACCCUGUUCUUUCAUUAGAAUCACAUAGGGAACAUUUUUUAAAUGCCAAUGAAUAUGUGUUCUUGGUACAUUGAGCUUUACAUGAGAUCAAUUAAAGAAAACUUCUUAUCUGGGAAUCUCUAUUUUUAAACAUCUGUCCAGGUGGCUCUGAUAUGUGGCAAUGUUGGGACACACUACAGGGUCAACUAGGAUGAGGUAAAAAGGACGAGUGAGACUGAGUAGAAAGAUAAAAAGAAAAGGAAAUCAAUACGGGAUGAAAGCACUGGGAAAGAUUGUGAGGAUAGGGUAAGGUCUAGAAAGGUGGGCACAGUGAUGAGGAAUGCCACCUGUCCUUCUGGUAGCCCUGAAAUAUUUUGCUAUAUCCAGAAGAAUAUUUCUGAUAUUGUUCCAGUAGCCAUUCACAGAAGGAAAUUGAUAGCAGAGGCUGAAAUAGUGAUGUUCAGACCACAGCGAAACCCUGGAGAGUAUAGAGGAACAAAACAGUAUUUCUCCAUGUGGAGAUCACUGUAAAUAGUAGCAUGGAAGUCGCAUGUGAUGAUGAAGGGUGAGUAAAAAACUUUCCAAAAGAAGAAGGGUCAGACUGCAAAGUAGAAGUAAACAAGCGUAUAGAGAUCUGGUCUCCCAAGACCUUGAGUGCCAGGCUGAGGUUUACGGGUUUUCUUGUACCUUGCCUCUUACGUGGAGUAAUUGUGUAUAGGAACAGUGACAGGGUGAAGCAGGAGGCCUAAAUGCUAGAGGGGUAUUUUCUAGAAGGCCAUAACGAUGGUCCAAAUGGGGACUAGUGUGAGCCCACACGGAGUGAAUGAAGGACAAGUCUGUGUACAGCUUACAUUAUAACAGAUCUUGGAGACCAAAUUGGAGAGAAAGCCCAAGGUCUUCAACCCUGAUUGCAGCACUCUAUGUUCAACGAGACAACAUUGAGUCAGAAUAUUAGCACCAGUCGAAUGGUCUGGGGAAGGGUCGUAAAAAAGAAUGAGAGUUUAUACUGGUUCUUCAGAUUGUCCAUGGGAUUUAAAUCCUCUACAGAACACUAACAUCUACUACAUCAGAAUAUCUUAAGACAGCCAUGGGUUUCUAGGGUUUUUUGGCAAAGCAACCCAAGAGUAUUUUAUAUUAUCCUCCACUGACCACAAAUGAAAAUCACUGAAUUAAAUAUAGAGGGAAAAGGAGCGCCUGGGUGGCUCAGUCAGUUAAGUGUCCGACUUCGGCUCAGGUCAUGAUCUCUCAGUCCAUGGGUGCGAGCCCUGCAUCGGGCUCUGUGCUGACAGCUCGGACCCUGGGGUCUGCUUCAGAUUCCGUGUCUUUCUCCCUAUAUUUCCUCCACUCAUUCUCUCUGUCUCUCUCAAAAAUAAACAAACAUUUUAAAAUUUUAAUAAAUAAAUAAUAAAUAAAGAGGGAAUGGCAGCAAGUAUUCUGCAGUCGACACCAAAAUAAAUUAAGCUGGUAGCAGGAUUGAAUUCUCAAUUGGUCUUCAAAGUUGCUAUCACGUAUAUGACACAUUUUGGUGUUUAAAACCUAUAAUUUAAAAAUAAUUCAACACGUGUUUUAGUAUUGAAAUUAAAACUAAAAAUUAAGUCAUUAUGGAAUCUGUGAACAAUAUUCGAAAAUCUUUUAAUACGAUGGAGCCCUCUCAUUUCCAGGCAGAAUUAAGGGCAGAGACUUUAAGUGCCCAAAGUCGCAAAGCUAAUGGGUGAGAUCCAGAGACCUGAGCCUUGUUCUCAGAUUACCUCUCCACAUCAAGUUCCUUUCUCCACUAAACCAGAAGGAAAAAUACUAGGGCCUGUUAGCUAAAAUUCCAGCUACUUUUUCUUGCUCUGAUAUAUUUAAGUCUAGCCCAAACAAUCUCUGGAGGUAGAGAAAAAGGAGCAUAUUGUUUUCUCAUGACUACUGUAACAAAUUACCACAAGCUUGGUGACUCGAAACAACAGAAGUUUAUUUUGUUAUGGCGCCCAGCCAAACUCUACAAAUGUGUAGCAGCACAGCAGAAAUUGUUACCCUGAAACUAGUAAGUCUCUUGGAACUUGAUGGAGACAUGAAUGUUAUUAACAAACAUGGAUGAUAGCCAUAAAGGAUACAGCAUCUAAACUAUCACGUCUCAGCUGAUGACGGUGGACCCAAUCGUGAAGCAGAAUGUUGUCUGAUAACAACCCUGCACCAAGCAGUAUAUCUGUCUGGAACUUAGUAAAUCUUAAUUCAGAGAACCAUAAAAAGCAGAGGCGGGCUGGGUAAAAGUUUACUUUGGCACUAUCUAGAAAAAAGAGUUUGCUCAGUGUAUUAAAAGAAUAAAUAGGACUGAAAGAAAAUAAACUUUUCAAGAACCUAGCAGCCCCAUUUUGCAGUUACCCGCAGUCAACCAGGGUCUGGAAACAGAUGAUUCUCCUUCUGACAUAAGGUCAGAAGGUCAAUAGUAGCCUAACGCUCUGUCACGGUGCCUACGUCAUUCGCGUCACUUCACCUCAUCACGCAGGCAUUUUAUCAUCUCACAUCGUCACAAGAAGAAAGACAUCCACUGGGGAUCUUGGAUAACCCUUCCAUUGGAUAAUGGAAGGAUGAUUGCACUACCACUGUUUCGUUGUUCACAUCGUUCUAGCUUUUGCUAUGGUGCUAUGGGCAACUCUUUAAGAUGAAGAAGAGAUUCUGCCUCAAGAUGGCAGCAUCAAUUCCCGCCUGAGUUUCCAGACUGCUGGCCCACCCUACAGGUCUCAGACUUGGGAGUCCCGUGAUCACGUGAGCUAUGUACAAUCACAUACACCUGUGUGUAUGCCUGUGUAUGCACAUGUGUGUGCAUGUAUGCAUGUGAGUAUAUGUAUCUAUCUAUAUAUGUAUAUAUAAAAUCAGUGUACACAUAUAGAAUCUCCUAUUGGCCCUGUUUCUAUAGAAAACGCUGACUCUUACAAACAGCAAAGAAAAGAACUCUGCUUUAUACCUAAAUUAGCUUUGUACUUAAGUUAGCUCAUUGAGCAAUGUUCGAAUUGAAUUUUUUAAUGUUUCUUUAUUAUUUUUGAGAGAGAGACAGAGAGAGAGAGAGCAUUCAGGGGAGGGGCAGAGACAGAGGGAAACAGGAUUUGAAGUGGGCUCAUAUUGACUCAUUGAACAGGUUUCAUUUCUUCAAAGUGUUAGGAAAUAUAGACACACAUAUUAAUUGUUAGCAUAAAAUAUUUUUGUAAGGGUCAUGGAAAAAUGAGUAUAAAGGUUAAUUUUACCUAAUUAAACCUUUAGCAAUGUAUAAUUUUAUAUAUUUUCUUGGUCUGAUGAGCAGGCACCUAGUUAGAUAUGGUAAUAUAUCCCAAAGAUAGGAUUUGGGUGCCUAAGUCAGGGCUUCAAUAAAUAUUUAAAUAUGAAUAUUAAUCAGUGAGAUUGGUGAUUUCCUCUUGACGACAAACAAUACAGUGAGUUAUUUCCUCUCUUCCCUUUGACUGUGUCUCUUCUCUCCUUAAAAGACACAAGUCACCUCUAAAUUUUUAGUAAAUAUGCUAUGAUUGAAGAAUCCAUGUGGUACCAAGGAACUUAUGUUUAUGUGUAGAAAUAUCUUAAUAUUACACAUAGUAAACCCCUUUUACACUGAUACAUUAUUCUCACAGCUAAUUUCAGGGCUCCACUGAAAUUUUUUUUUAACGUUAAUUUAUUUUUGAGACUGAGAGAGACAGAGCAUGAACGGGGGAGGGGCAGAGAGAGAGGGAGACACAGAAUCGGAAGCAGGCUCCAGGCUCUGAGCCAUCAGCCCAGAGCCCGACACGGGGCUCGAACUCACGGACCGCGAGAUCGUGACCCGAGCUGAAGUCGGACGCCUAACCGACUGAGCCACCCAGGAGCCCCUCCACUGAAAAAUUUAAGAAGUUUAAAGCUCAACCCAACAUGGACAAAUCAGUAAAGAAAAAAACCUUGAUUUUUGAAACCAUAGAGUGAGUAUACACAUUGAAAGUGACUUCCCUGAAAUGUACAAGGCUGUUCCGCAGGGGUAUCUCCAUCAGUUCUCUUUGCCUACAUGCCUUUGUUCCUAUUUUAAGGUCACAUCUGAGCUGAAAAUGGUAGUGAGAGUUGGUGCAGCAGAAGUGAAUGUGAAAGAAAUUCGCAAUAGCUGUUGUCACAUGUGCUGCAGAAAGUUUAUGAUGCAGGAGUUCACCUCUCUUGAAGCUGUAAGUAACAGGAGCCUGGUGCUCUCAUAGCCAGUGGACAUAGCUUACUGGGUAUUAUCAGAAAAUCCAGCUGGAAAAUUGUUAAAAGAAAGGCCUCCUACCAGUAUCCUUGGUUGUCAGACUACUUACUGAAAAUAAAUACAAUUAAAUAUAUAGGACAUGGAAAGAGAAGUCAUGCAUGAAUGAAAUUCUCAUUUAUGGUGUCUGUUUUUAGAAAUCCUACCCGGGUGUUCUCUCUUGUUCUCAUUUAAAUUCUAGUAUUGAACAGCACUAUGGAAUGAAUGGCAAUGUUUUGGCUCCACUGGAAUCCUGGGGUGUUCCUUGAGGUUCUCCUACACUGGCUUAUUCUAAAACGUCUCCAGCCCUGUGUGAACUCCAGUGUUGUUGAGCUCGCGAUUCCCUGUAGUUUGUUCUCUGUAGAUGUACUUCAUCAGGCUUCACAGAGACUUGACCUAUGAAUACAAAGCUUGUAUUUUAGACGAAACUCAAAGAAACUCAAAGGGACACAGACCAGUUUCUGCAACUAUUUCUCAGCAAGUUCUCUUAUCUCUUAUGAUCUUGUUUUGCAAAUUCCAGCUACUCUAUCAUCUCUUACUUUCAUAUCUGUCUUCUGACCUCAGCAAAGCCACUGUCUUAUUGUGGUCCCUCCCACCUAUGCAGCCAUCAGGAAGUGUCCAACAGAGAGAGAUUUCAUGAUCCUGGGGCCUACUUUGCUUGAGUUCAUUAUCUUGGGAAUCAUAAAUCUGCACUGCCGGUUUUCCAACAUUUGGUAUACUUUCUUCAGUUAUGUAAUUGUUUUUGGCAAAAGCCUGAACCAUUACGAGCUACUCUGUCAUAGCCAGAAGUAGGAUUCUCUUACAACAUGUUUUAUGUUUGUGUCUUGCCUUGGGAGUAACUAGAACAUCCAGUUAGUAUAAAUUUAAAUUUCAACCUGGAAAUAAUUCAAUUUGCCUCCUACAGUCUCAACCAAAACAUGAUAUCUAUCUUCUCCUUUCCUGUGUUAACUGGAAUAUUAUUUCUAGACUAUUCUUUCACUGAACAUGUAACUCUUUCAGUAGGUGAGGUCUUUUUUUUUUUUUUUUUUCAUUAGUUGAUGAGGGCUAAAACCUAUAUCCUUAGAUUAUACAUGUGGAUUUCCCUUCCAUGAUAGUUUCAUCACAUAGUUACCUGCUGUGAUUAAGUUUCCUCCUCAUUUCUGGUCCCUCAUUGUACUUUGAGUUGAGUUUAUAUUUAAAAGA